GCAUAUCCCAUCGGUGAAACAGGGUUCGGUGUGUGUACGAAUCCGGCCGGUAUUGUUUGGGAGUGCCGGUUGCUUUUGGUUAUCAUUCUACGACAGUUCAUUGGACAGGAACCAUGGCCCAGAAAGAAAUGCCAAUGUGUUUACUGCUUCCAUGUUUCAUCGUUUCUUCUUCCAUAAAAGGAAAAUAUGGUAGUAUAACCUUGCUUGUGGCACCAGCAAUUCUCGGACAAAACAUGAGGAAAUCAAUAAGCGUGCAGAUGAAUAUUGGACAUUGCCCGGAGAAUAAGCUUAAAAGAAUAAUGAGCGGACAUAUGCCAGUUUGGGCAUGGACCAAAUGGAG